rnacentral:lncRNA from 10 species
UAACCUUAACAAUCAAUGACAGAAUAAUUUGAGACUUUAAGUAAAUCUUCUCCAUCUGGAAAUUGGACUUAUCCUCAAAAGAAGACACAGUGUUAGUACUGGAAAGAACUCCUGAGAUGAUUUUUAUAAAAUACCUUGAGUUAUUUUUGAUAAAGGACCAUGACAAUCCCAAGAUUUCAUUUACUAACAAGUUUGAUCCUAAGGAACUUGCACUGAUCAGACACUUAAGAGACAGCAGGUGGGGCCCUAAGAGUGUGAGCUGGAGGUGCAAGAAGAGACGGAAAAAAUGGGCCAUUAUAAACCAGAAGCUGGAACUAGGGGCUCAUCAGGAGAGCACAGAGAUGAGCAAAGCUCUUGAGUAAUUUAUCAGACCAAGCUGGAGAUGCCAGAAAAGGAAGAGGACUGUUCCAACUACAGGGAGUUUAAUGCUCAGCUCUAAGUCUCUUGGUUGUCUUUGUAAUGGUAACCACCUCCUCUGCAGGGCAGCCUCCAAGGAGUUCUGUGAGAGGGCUGUUCUUCCAGAAAGUAUCAGGCCUGGGCCGUAUGUCCCUGCUUGCUUUCAGGGACAUGUGAAAGAACAAGCCCCAACAGAAAAGUAAAUAAUAAGAACACACUUAGAAACCAAAGGUGAUGAGAAGAGCUAAAAUCCCCAGGACUUACAGAGAUCUUGAGAACAAAGGGCUUUUCGUGGUUGAUGAGAUGGGCAUUUGGACAGGACUUCUCUGGGUCUUAAGGGCAUGGUGAUCCCAGCUGGUAUCUAUCCGGCUUACGUUUAUUUGAUAUAUAUAUCCCCUCCACUAUUCUGCAAGCUCCCGGGGUAGAGGGCCAGGUCUGACUUGUUCAGCGUGUUUGUUCCCAUGCCUGCUACAAUCCCAGGCAUAAAAAUACGUGAUGAAAAGAAAGUUGAAUAAAUGAACAAAUGAAUGAAUUAUUUAUGUAUAAAUCUAUCUUCUUCACUUGAUUGGGAGUUUCAGAAAGGCGAAAGCCACAUCCCAUGUCUCUCAGCCAUCUUUCUAACUA